rnacentral:rRNA from 1 species
CGGGGCGCAGCAGGCGCGAAAACUUUACAAUGCGGGCAACCGUGAUAAGGGAACCUCGAGUGCCUGUACAUGCAGGCUGUCYGGGUGUCUAAAACACACCCAAAGAAAGGGCCGGGCAAGACCGGUGCCAGCCGCCGCGGUAAUACCGGCGGCUCGAGUGGUGGCCACUUUUAUUGGGCUUAAAGCGUUCGUAGCUGGGUUGUUAAGUCUCUUGGGAAAUCYGGCGGCUUAACCGUCAGGCGUCUAAGAGAUACUGGCAAUCUUGGAACCGGGAGAGGUGAGGGGUACUUCGGGGGUAGGAGUGAAAUCCUGUAAUCCUCGAGGGACCACCUGUGGCGAAGGCGCCUCACCAGAACGGCUUCGACAGUGAGGGACGAAAGCUGGGGGAGCAAACCGRAUUAGAUACCCGGGUAGUCCCAGCCGUAAACGAUGCGCGUUAGGUGUAUCGAUGACCACGAGUCAUCGAGGUGCCGAAGGGAAACCGUGAAACGUACCGCCUGGGAAGUACGGUCGCAAGGCUGAAACUUAAAGGAAUUGGCGGGGGAG